GAUGAACGCUGGCGGCGUGCCUAACACAUGCAAGUCGAACGGAGUCCAGCCUUUAAGACCUUCGGGUCAAAGAGGGGAAGACUGAGUGGCGGACGGGUGAGUAACACGUGGGCAACCUGGCUCAUAGAGGGGGAUAACAGAGAGAAAUUUCUGCUAAUACCGCAUAAGCACACACUGCCGCAUGGCAGAGGGUGAAAAGAGAAUCGCUAUGAGAUGGACCCGCGUCUGAUUAGCCGGUUGGCGGGGUAAGAGCCUACCAAAGCGACGAUCAGUAGCCGAUCAGAGAGGAUGAGCGGCGACAUUGGGACUGAGCCACGGCCCAAACUCCUACGGGAGGCAGCAGUGGGGGAUAUUGCACAAUGGGGGGAACGCUGAUGCAGCGACGCCGCGUGAGUGAAGAAGUAUUUCGGUAUGUAAAGCUCUAUCAGCAGGGAAGAUAAUGACGGUACCUGAAUAAGAAGCCCCGGCUAACUACGUG
rnacentral:rRNA from 1 species